rnacentral:vault_RNA from 1 species
GGACUGGAUUUAGCUCUGCGGUUACUUCGGCAUAUGGAGCUCAAGGUUCUAUAAUCAUCACUGAUGGUUCGAGACCUGCAGGUGCUCUCCAGUCCUUUG